rnacentral:rRNA from 1 species
UACGGAGGGUGCAAGCGUUAUCCGGAUUCACUGGGUUUAAAGGGUGCGUAGGUGGGCAGGUAAGUCAGUGGUGAAAUCCCCGGGCUUAACCCGGGAACUGCCGUUGAUACUAUCUGUCUUGAAUGUCGUGGAGGUGAGCGGAAUAUGUCAUGUAGCGGUGAAAUGCAUAGAUAUGUCACAGAACACCAAUUGCGAAGGCAGCUUACUAAAG